rnacentral:rRNA from 1 species
GACGAACGCUGGCGGCGUGCUUAACACAUGCAAGUCGAACGAAGUGGCGGACGGGUGAGUAAUGCGUAAUCAACCUGCCCUUCAGCGGGGGACAACAGUUUGAAACGACUGCUAAUACCGCAUACGGUAGGUGGGGACUGCGUCUGGUUAGCUAGUUGGAGGGGUAACGGCCCACCAAGGCGAAGAUCAGUAGCCGGUCCGGGAGGAUGGACGGCCACAUUGGGACUGGGACACGGCCCAGACUCCUACGGGAGGCAGCAGUGGGGAAUCUUCCGCAAUGGACGAAAGUCUGACGGAGCAACGCCGCGUGAGUGAUGACGGCCUUCGGGUUGUAAAGCUCUGUUAAUCGGGACGCGGUACCGGAAUAGAAAGCCACGGCUAACUACGUGCCAGCAGCCGCGGUAAUAC